AACGAACGCUGGCGGCAGGCCUAACACAUGCAAGUCGAGCGAGAUCUUCGGGUCUAGCGGCGGACGGGUGAGUAACGCGUGGGAAUAUGCCUCUUGGUACGGAAUAGCCUCGGGAAACUGGGAGUAAUACCGUAUGUGCCCUUUGGGGGAAAGAUUUAUCGCCAAGAGAUUAGCCCGCGUUGGAUUAGGUAGUUGGUGGGGUAAUGGCCUACCAAGCCGACGAUCCAUAGCUGGUUUGAGAGGAUGAUCAGCCACACUGGGAAUGAGACACGGCCCAGACUCCGACGGGAGGCAGCAGUGGGGAAUCUUAGACGAUGGGGGCAAACCUGAUCUAGCCAUGCCGCGUGAGUGAUGAAGGCGUUAGGGUUGUAAAGCUCUUUCAGCUGGGAAGAUAAUGACGGUACCAGCAGAAGAAGCCCCGGCUAACUCCGUG
rnacentral:rRNA from 1 species